GUGAAACCACAGACAUGAAGGCGGAUUUAGCAGUAAAAAGAAACAGAGAGUUCUUUUUAACCCGGCCCU
rnacentral:rRNA from 1 species